CCGUAUAUAUUGCUUUAUGCAGAAAAAACAGAAGCAUGUCCAUCCUUGUGUGAGCUAAGAAAUGAUAUAUCUAUAGAAACACUGAGCCUCCUCAUACUUCCUUAUUUAUUUAAAUACCAUAAUAUAAAAAGUGGUAAUAAAAAAAAUGCAAACCAUCUAAAGCAGAGGUUGCGGAAAGUUUCAUUUUUCUUGUUCCUGUUCAAAUGCCGACGACUUUUGCUGCGUGCUGCAGAAAGCUUUUUUAAAACGGCACAAAAAUGGACGACUCCUA